GUUGCACAAAAGUUGACUUAUUGUCAUGUCAUCUACAUGGGAAUUCAUUGGACCAAGCCCUGGUUUACUCACAUCCAGCCAGUAUUUAAGCCAUAGUACCACAGCUGUCAGAGUAAAUACAGACUGUGACAUUACAAUAACUGGACAAGAGCAUCUGUACAAGGAUGAAGUCAACACAGGCAAUGAUACUGAUGCUUUUUGUUGCAUCAGUCUUUUCAAAACCAUUUCCUUUGCGCAGAGGAUCUGAUUCAUCAGACUCUGUGCAGUCAAGAAUCAGUUCAGAGGAAAGUGAUUCAAGAUCCGGUUCAGAGGAAAGUGAUUCUCUGAAUCGUCGGUUUCCUUUGCGCAGAGGAUCUGAUUCAUCAGACUCUGUGCAGUCAAGAAUCAGUUCAGAGGAAAGUGAUUCAAGAUCCGGUUCAGAGGAAAGUGAUUCUCUGAAUCGUCGGUUUCCUUUGCGCAGAGGAUCUGAUUCAUCAGACUCUGUGCAGUCAAGAAUCAGUUCAGAGGAAAGUGAUCCAAGUUCCAGUUCAGGGGAAAGUGAUUCAAGAUCCGGUUCAGAGGAAAGUGAUUCUUUGAAUCGUCGGUUUCCUUUGCGCAGAGGAUCUGAUUCAUCAGACUCUGUGCAGUCAAGAUCCAGUUCAGAGGAAGAUGAUUCUUUGAAUCGUCGGUUUCCUUUGCGCAGAGGAUCUGAUUCAUCAGAGUCUGUGCAGUCAAGAUCCAGUUCAGAGGAAAGCGAUUCUCUGAAUCGUCGGUUUCCUUUGCGCAGAGGAUCUGAUUCAUCAGAGUCUGUGCAGUCAAGAUCCAGUUCAGAGGAAGAUGAUUCAUCCAGACAGGAUUCAAAUUCUGAAUCAAACGAGUCUAAAUCAAGUGAAUCUGAUUCUUCUGAGGAAGUCAUUACGGUAGCUAGGACCACAAAAAAACCACCAACCACUACCUGUGAUGGCAGGGGUGACAACGACGACUGCUAAUCUGCUAAUAACUUGCAAUAUUGCUGUUUAAUCAUAUUUUAAUGCAAAAUUAAUGUACAAAUAACAAUGUACAACUGAUUAUAGUGCACAGUAUAACAAUGUGCUUUGAAAACGAAUGAUACUAAUGAAUGAUUUAACUAAUAAAGAUUAUAUCUGCAUGUCA